AUGGUGACGCCCCCUACGGGUCCUCCGUUACGGAUAACCCACCCGUCCCACCCAGGCCACGUGCUCACGCUGUACGCCACCGGCGGCGCGCUGUUCCAGUGCGACGGCUGCCGGCAUUACGGCGAGGACGACCGCAGGUACCGGUGCGACCCGUGCGACUUCGACCUUCACGUGUGCUGCGUCCCCUUCAAGGUGGAGGACCUGACGCUCACGCAUCCUUUCUUCAAGGGCUGCACCUUCGACUUCCGCUACAGCCCUCCCGGCGGCACCCUGGCCGGCCGCGGCAGCUUCUGCGGCGCCUGCGGAGACCAGGUGCUCGGCUUCAUGUUCCACGACGGCCACCGCCAGAUCGGCCUCCACCCGCAGUGCGCCAACCUGGCGGAGCGCGUGGUCCAGCACGACGGCGUGUUCGACCUCCUCAGGGAGGCGCCUGCCCAUGGUAGCUGCGGGUUGUGCCGGCAAGGGCAGGGCGGGCGCCGCGACAGGUUUUGGUGCUACAGCUACCUCGACGGCGGCGGCCAGCAUGCGUACACGCAUGUGGCGUGCAUGAUGGAAGCUUGCUACAAACGCUCUCAGGUCGCGCAGGUGAGCGCGCCGACGGCAUGUGCGGUGGGAACGCCGACGACAUGGGAGGUGGGCAUGCCGCAGAGCGCGCCGGGGACAUGGGAGGUGGGCACGCCGCAGAGCGUGCCGACGACAUGGGACACUGGGUUGUCAUCCAGCAUCAGCAAGGUCUCCCUUUUCUGCAAGGUUGCGGUCGCCGUGGCCAGGGUCGCCUCCGCGGUCUCCACUGGCACGGGGGGUGACCCGUUAUGGAUUGACACGACGGCUACAGAACCCACCGAAUAA
rnacentral:rRNA from 1 species